rnacentral:misc_RNA from 1 species
GAUGAAGAACGUAGUGAAAUGCGAUAAGUAAUGUGAAUUGCAGAAUUCAGUGAAUCAUCGAAUCUUUGAACGCACAUUGCGCCCGCCAGUAUUCUGGCGGGCAUGCCUGUUCGAGCGUCAUUUCAACCCUCAGGCCCCCAGUGCCUGGUGUUGGGGAUCGGCCCAGCCUUCCUGUAAGGCCGCCGGCCCCGAAAUCUAGUGGCGGUCUCGCUGUAGUCCUCCUCUGCGUAGUAGCACAACCUCGCAGUUGGAACGCGGCGGUGGCCAUGCCGUUAAACACCCCACUUCUGAAAGUUGACCUCGGAUCAGGUAGGAAUACCCGCUGAACUUAAGCAUAUCAAUGAGCGGAGGA